UACGUAGGGUGCAAGCGUUGUCCGGAAUUAUUGGGCGUAAAGAGCUCGUAGGCGGUCUGUCGCGUCUGCUGUGAAAACUCGGGGCUUAACCCCGGGCCUGCAGUGGGUACGGGCAGACUAGAGUGCGGUAGGGGAGACUGGAAUCCUGGUCGUAGCGGUGAAAUGCGCAGAUAUCAGGAGGAACACCGGCGGCGAAGGCGGGUCUCUGGGCCGUAACUGACGCUGAGGAGCGAAAGCGUGGGG
rnacentral:rRNA from 1 species